UGGGAUGUUGCUUAAUGGUAAAGCAUUUGCCUAGCAUGCAUUAUGUUCUGGGUUUGAUCCCCAGCACCACAU
rnacentral:tRNA from 1 species